rnacentral:lncRNA from 1 species
UCCAAAAAAUAUUUCCAUGGAGGUUUUGGGCUACAACCACGCCAUGUUUGGCUUCGCACCUUACGGACCAUACUGGCGCAACAUGCGUAAAAUUACCACUCUCGAGCUCCUCUCGAACCACCGACUGGAUAUGCUCAAACAUGUACGAGAAUCUGAGAUGAAGGUAUCCUUACAAGAGUUAUAUCAACUUUGGAAAGAGAACAAAAAUAGCUCUGAUAAGGUUUUGGUGGAGAUGGAUAAAUGGUUCCGCGAUGCAACCGCCAACGUGAUUCUCAAGAUGAUAGUAGGGAAGCGAAUUUCGAGUUUGGGGAAUGAUGCAGAGAGUGGGAGAUGGAAGAACGCGUUGAAGGAGUUCUUCGAGUUGAGUGGGAAGUUUUUGGUAGCGGAUGCAUUCCCAUUUUUGAGAUGGUUGGACAUUGGGGGAGACGAGAGGUUGAUGAAGAAGGUGAAGAAAGUACUGAACGAAGUUGCUGAGGAAUGGUUACAAGAGCACAAGCAAAAGAGAGCUUCGGGUGAGUUCAGGGACGAGGAAGAAGACUUCAUGGAUGUCAUGCUGUCAAUCCUCACCGACGCCAAGGAGUAUGAUGCUGAUACAAUAAACAAAGCUACGUGCCUGGUAUGCUCUAAUUUGAUUUGUUAAUUCAUCAAUAAUCAAUCAUAAACUUCAUUUAGAAAUAACUCCAUUCAGAUUUUACCUUUGACAAUUUAAAUUAUAUAUGUUAUCUUUCGAUUACUUUUCAGAUUCUUAUCUUAGCAGCCACUGAUCCCACAGCGGUUACAUUGACAUGGUGUUUAGCCUUAUUACUCAAUAAUCGUGAUGCGUUGAAGAAAGCACAGCAAGAAAUAGACAUCCAUAUCGGUAAAGACAAGCCAGUGGAGGAAAAUGAUAUAAAGAAUUUAGUUUACCUUCAAGCCAUAAUCAAGGAAACCUUGCGAUUACACCCUGCCGGACCACUCGCAGUGCCUCAUGAAUCCAUGGAAAACUGCACCGUUAAUGGCUACCAUAUCCCUGCAGGCACAGAACUUCUCAUCAAUCUUUACAAAAUCCAUCGCGAUUCUCGCGUAUGGUCUGAUCCUUACAAGUUUCAACCGGAAAGGUUUUUGACUACUCACAAAAAUUUUGAUGUAAGGGGUCAGAAUUUUGAGUUGAUACCAUUUAGUAGUGGAAGAAGAAUGUGCCCUGGAGUUUCCUUUGCGCUUCAGGUUGUGCAGCUUACGCUAGCCAAUUUGCUGCAUGGGUUUGACUUAGCAACGCCAUUCGAUGAACCAGUUGAUAUGCGAGAGGCAGCCGGGCUGUCAAAC